GAGACAAAUAGCAAAGAUGUGGGGAGUACCGAUGUCAGAAGCAGAAACAUUAUAUCCUCUUAAUAAGCCCAUAGUUCAGGAUUUGCAAUCAGAUUUAUGAGUUGGAAGGGUUACCCUCAAAUGCACUGAAGCUGCAUUACAUUUACAUCACUAAAAGAAACCUUUUGUGGAUAUCUGUAGUUCACUACAUGUUCUUGAGAGGAUAGCAUGUUCUGUUAAGUGCAAUGAGCCAGUUCUUUUGGUUGGUGAAACUGGUACUGGAAAAACAACUCUUGUACAGAAUCUUGCAGUGAGGCUUGGCUAA